rnacentral:rRNA from 1 species
GGAGUUAGCCGGUGCUUCUUCUGUGAGUGAUGUCCUUCCUGCCGGUUAUUGACCCGCAGGCCUUCUUCCUCACUGAAAGUGCUUUACAACCCGAAGGCCUUCUUCACACACGCGGCAUGGCUGGAUCAGGGUUGCCCCCAUUGUCCAAUAUUCCCCACUGCUGCCUCCCGUAGGAGUCUGGGCCGUGUCUCAGUCCCAGUGUGGCUGAUCAUCCUCUCAGACCAGCUACGGAUCGUCGCCUUGGUGAGCCGUUACCUCACCAACCAGCUAAUCCGACAUAGGCUCAUCCGAUAGCGCGAGGCCCGAAGGUCCCCCGCUUUCCCCCGUAGGGCGUAUGCGGUAUUAGCCUGGGUUUCCCCAGGUUAUCCCCCACUACCGGGCAGAUUCCUAUGCAUUACUCACCCGUCCGCCGCUCGCCACCAGGGAGCAAGCUCCCCGUGCUGCCGCUCGACUUGCAUGUGUUAGGCCUGCCGCCAGCGUUCAAUCUGAGCCAAAAUCAAACUCUGA